rnacentral:rRNA from 1 species
UACAUGGGGUGCAAACGUUGCUCGGAAUUAUUGGGCGUAAAGCGCGCGUAGGCGGUUAAUCAAGUCGGAUGUGAAAGCCCUCGGCUUAACUGAGGAAGUGCACCCGAAACUGAGUAGCUAGAGUACCAAAGAGGGUCGCGGAAUUCCCGGUGUAGAGGUGAAAUUCGUAGAUAUCGGGAGGAACACCGGUGGCGAAGGCGGCGACCUGGGUGGAUACUGACGCUGAGGCGCGAAAGCGUGGGGAGCAAACAGG